UCUGUGUCUGUUUGCAUUGGCUACUUUAGUUCUUGACUGCCUAACGUUGGGAUACUACCAUGAACUGCAGCAAUGUACAUCGGUUCUUGUCACAUCAUUUCCAAUUGUUCAGGCUGUUUUCACAGUCAUACAGGUUUCUCUCCUCUCAUUUUACGCUAAAGUUUGCAUACAGGAGAAACAAACAUUCAACAGGUUUGGCCUGAUGCACACACUGGCUACAAAUAUAUUAAUGUGGAUGAGUGUUGUCCUGGACGAGUCUAUGAAACAACUGGAGGAGAUCUACGAUAUCCAGAAGGAGAACCUGAAUACAUUGCAAAGUGAAACAACAUACACCAAUAGCUGUGUCUGCAUUACCGAACUUUGCCAUAUUUUCUCAGAAGGAGCAGCCUACCUGCACCCAUUUAAUAUUGAGUUCAGCCUGUUCUCUUCUACCAUGCUGUA